UCCCGAGCAAUCGGGAAAGUAGAGUGGCGCACGGGUGAGUAACACGUAGGUAAUCUACCUUCGGAUGGGGAAUAACAACCGGAAACGGUUGCUAAUACCGCAUAAUGCAGCGGCACCUAAUGGUGACAGUUGUUAAAGCGGGGGAUCGAAAGACCUCGCGUCUGAAGAGGAGCCUGCGGCGGAUUAGCUAGUUGGUAAGGUAAUGGCUUACCAAGGCGACGAUCCGUAACCGGCCUGAGAGGGCGGUCGGUCACACUGACACUGACAUACGGGUCAGACUCCUACGGGAGGCAGCAGUCGGGAAUUUUGGGCAAUGGGCGAAAGCCUGACCCAGCAACGCCGCGUGAAGGAUGAAAUCCCUCGGGAUGUAAACUUCGCAAGAACGGGAAGAAUAAGUAGGGGACAAUACCCCCUAUGAUGACGGUACCGUUUGUAAGCUCCGGCUAACUCCGUGCCAGCAGCCGCGGUAAUACGGGGGGAGCAAGCGUUGUUCGGAUUUACUGGGCGUAAAGGGCGCGUAGGCGGUCAGCACAAGUCAGUUGUGAAAUCUCCGAGCUUAACUCGGAAAGGUCAACUGAUACUGUGCGACUAGAGUGCAGAAGGGGCAACUGGAAUUCUCGGUGUAGCGGUGAAAUGCGUAGAUAUCGAGAGGAACACCUGCGGCGAA
rnacentral:rRNA from 1 species